rnacentral:lncRNA from 1 species
GACAGAGGGAGAGCUUGAGAACCAAGAUAUCAUAUUUUCUUUAGCUACGUGAAGCUGAUGCAUCGCUAGGGAAGGGUUAAAGAAAAACAAACCCCUCUCAAGAUGUUCCUGGAAAACCCAAGCAGAUAAACACAUGGGAAGCUCAGACAGCCGGCCUUCUGUUAAGUAUGUGAGAGAAAUUUCCCAUCUCGAGCGGUGGUUUUGUUCCUGAUGAACAUGCUGAACACCCAUUUCAGCUAAGCAUUCAGAAAAUUAUUCUUCCCUUUCCAUUUGCAAUAUCCUCUGCAAAGUUACAUGCAAUUGCUUCAAAGGGAAAUUUCUUUUCAGUGGUCAGUAUGGGAACUGAUUUCUUAAAAUGAGUAAGUGCUCUUGUGUGAUAAAUCUCUGAUUGGAUUUACUACUGAUUUGCUCUUUAAAGAUGCUUUACACACCCA